CUACGGGUGGCUGCAGUCGAGAAUCUUUUGCAAUGGGCGAAAGCCUGACAAUGCGACGCCGCGUGAGCGAUGAAGCCCUUCGGGGUGUAAAGCUCUGUCAGCCCGGAUGAAUAUGCGCUUAUGAAUAAUAAGCUCAGACGACAGUACGGGCAGAGGAAGCCACGGCUAACUCCAUGCCAGCAGCCGCGGUAAUACGGAGGUGGCAAGCGUUGUUCGGAUUCAUUGGGUGUAAAGGGUAUGUAGGUGUCCCGGAAAGUCGAAUGUGAAAUCCCCUGGCUCAACCAAGGAACUACAUUCGAAACUUCCGGGAUUGAGUAUGGAAGAGGAGAGUGGAAUUCCCGGUGUAAGGGUGAAAUCUGUAGAUAUCGGGAGGAACACCAGUGGCGCAAGCGGCUCUCUGGUCCAAUACUGACACUGAAAUACGAAAGCAAGGGGAGCAAACAGGAUUAGAUACCCCGGUAGUC
rnacentral:rRNA from 1 species